rnacentral:rRNA from 1 species
UUGUUCGGAAUUACUGGGCGUAAAGGGCUCGUAGGUGGCCAACUAAGUCAGACGUGAAAUCCCUCGGCUUAACCGGGGAACUGCGUCUGAUACUGGAUGGCUUGAGUUUGGGAGAGGGAUGCGGAAUUCCAGGUGUAGCGGUGAAAUGCGUAGAUAUCUGGAGGAACACCGGUGGCGAAGGCGGCAUCCUGGACCAACACUGACACUGAGGAGCGAAAGCCAGGGGAGCAAACGGG